UACGAAGGGGGCUAGCGUGGUUCGGAUUUACUGGGCGUAAAGCGCACGUAGGCGGAUUGUUCAGUUAGGGGUGAAAUCCUGGAGCUCAACUCCAGAACUGCCUUUAAUACUGCCAGUCUCGAGUCCGGAAGAGGUAAGUGGAACUCCUAGUGUAGAGGUGGAAUUCGUAGAUAUUAGGAAGAACACCAGUGGCGAAGGCGGCUUACUGGUCCGGUACUGACGCUGAGGUGCGAAAGCGUGGGGAGCAAACAGG
rnacentral:rRNA from 1 species